AGAGUUUGAUCAUGGCUCAGAACGAACGCUGGCGGCAGGCCUCAAACAUGCAAGUCUAGGGGGCGUAGCAAUACGUCACCGGCGGACGGGUGCGUAACACGUGGGAAUAUACCUUUCGGUACGGAACAACUGAGGGAAACUUCAGCUAAUACCGUAUACGUCCUAACGGAGAAAGAUUUAUCGCCGAAGGAUUAGCCCGCGUUCGAUUAGCUAGUUGGUGAGGUAAUGGCUCACCAAGGCAACGAUCGAUAGCUGUUCUGAGAGGAAGAUCAGCCACACUGGGACUGAGACACGGCCCAGACUCCUACGGGAGGCAGCAGUUGGGAAUCUUGGACAAUGGGGGCAACCCUGAUCCAGCCAUGCCGCGUGAGUGAUGAAGGCCUUCGGGUUGUAAAGCUCUUUUACCCGGGAAGAUAAUGACUGUACCGGGAGAAUAAGCUCCGGCUAACUUCGUGCCAGCAGCCGCGGUAAUACGAAGGGGGCUAGCGUUGUUCGGAAUUACUGGGCGUAAAGCGCGCGCAGGCGGUUUCUCAAGUCAGUGGUGAAAGCCCGGAGCUCAACUCCGGAACUGCCAUUGAAACUGUGAAACUUGAGGACGAGAGAGGUGAGUGGAAUUCCCAGUGUAGAGGUGAAAUUCGUAGAUAUUGGGAAGAACACCGGUGGCGAAGGCGGCUCACUGGCUCGUUUCUGACGCUCAGGCGCGACAGCGUGGGGAUCAAACAGGAUUAGAUACCCUAGUAGUCC
rnacentral:rRNA from 1 species